rnacentral:rRNA from 1 species
GCUCAGGACGAACGCUGGCGGCGUGCCUAACACAUGCAAGUCGAACGGAGAAACAACUGUAGCAAUAUGGAUGUUUCUUAGUGGCGGACGGGUGAGUAACGCGUGAGCAACCUGCCUUUCAGAGGGGGACAACAGCUGGAAACGGCUGCUAAUACCGCAUAUUGUACAACAUGGGCAUCCAUGAAGUAUGAAAGAUUUAUCGCUGAAAGAUGGGCUCGCGUCUGAUUAGCUAGUUGGUGGGGUAACGGCCCACCAAGGCGACGAUCAGUAGCCGGACUGAGAGGUUGAUCGGCCACAUUGGGACUGAGAUACGGCCCAGACUCCUACGGGAGGCAGCAGUGGGGAAUAUUGGGCAAUGGGGGCAACCCUGACCCAACAACGCCGCGUGAAGGAAGAAGGCUUUCGGGUUGUAAACUUCUUUGACCGGGGACGAUAAUGACGGUACCCGGAAAACAAUCCCCCGGCUAACUACGUGCCAGCAGCCGCGGUAAUACGUAGGUGGCGAGCGUUGUCCGGAAUUACUGGGUGUAAAGGGCGUGUAGGCGGGCAUGCAAGUCAGAUGUGAAAUUUCUCAGCUUAACCGAGAGUGUGCAUUUGAAACUGUGGUUCUUGAGUGAUGGAGAGGCAAGUGGAAUUCGUAGUGUAGCGGUGAAAUGCGUAGAUAUUAGGAGGAACACCAGUGGCGAAGGCGACUUGCUGGACAUUAACUGACGCUGAAACGCGAAAGCGUGGGGAGCAAAAAGGGUUAGAUACCUUGGUAGUUCACCCCCUAACCACCCCAUAUGGGGUGUGGGAGGACUGACCCCUUCCCGUGCCGGCGUUAACACAAUAAGUAUUCCUCCUCGGGAGUACGAUCGCAAGGUUGAAACUCAAAGGAAUUGACGGGGGCCCGCACAAGCAGUGGAUUAUGUGGUUUAAUUUGAAGCAACGCGAAGAACCUUACCAGGGCUUGACAUCCAACUAACGAAGCAGAGAUGCAUUAGGUGCCCUUCGGGGAAAGAUGAGACAGGUGGUGCAUGGUUGUCGUCAGCUCGCGUCGUGAGAUGUUGGGUUAAGUCCCGCAACGAGCGCAACCCCUAUUGUUAGUUGCUACGCAAGAGCACUCUAGCGAGACUGCCGUUGACAAAGCGGAGGAAGGUGGGGAGGACGUCAAAUCAUCAUGCCCCCUAUGUCUUGGGGUACACACGUAAUACAAUGGCGUCCAACAGAGGGGUGGUAAGCCGUGAGGUGGAGCAAAUCCCCAAAAAACGUCUCGGUUCGGAUCGCAGGCUGCAACCCGCCUGCGUGAAGUCGGAAUUGCUAGUAAUCGCGGAUCAGCAUGCCGC